CUUUGCUGAGCAGGAAAGAAACCAGGUAAAGUAACAUAUCAUAGCCUUCUUAUUCCCAGGCAGAUGUCUGAGGCUUCUCUUUCCUUUGGUCAAAUCUGAUUUGUAUUUCUUCUUGGCUAAUACCUCUAGAGUGCUCCAGGCUGCUUUCUGCCUG
ensembl:misc_RNA